rnacentral:rRNA from 1 species
ACUCAAAUGAAUAGACGGGGGCCCGCACAAGCGGUGGAGCAUGUGGUUCAAUUCGACGCAACGCGAAGAACCUUACCGGGGUUUGAACUGUACGAGAUCGCGGCAGAGAUGUCGCUUUCCUUCGGGACUCGUGCAGAGGUGCUGCAUGGCUGUCGUCAGCUCGUGUCGUGAGAUGUUGGGUUAAGUCCCGCAACGAGCGCAACCCUUGCCUCCUGUUGCCAACAGGUCAAGCUGGGCACUCUGGAGAGACUGCCGGUGAUAAACCGGAGGAAGGUGGGGAUGACGUCAAGUCCUCAUGGCCUGUAAGCCCCGGGCUACACACGUGCUACAAUGGCUGGUACAAAGGGUUGCAAAACCGCGAGGUGGAGCUAAUCCCAAAAAGCCAGUCCCAGUUCGGAUUGCAGUCUGCAACUCGACUGCAUGAAGCUGGAAUCGCUAGUAAUCGCGGAUCAGCACGCCGCGGUGAAUACGUUCCCGGGCCUUGUACACACCGCCCGU